rnacentral:rRNA from 1 species
GAGUUGAUCCUGGCUUAGGAUGAACGCUAGCUACAGGCUUAACACAUGCAAGUCGAGGGGCAUCAGGGGAUUAGCUUGCUAUCUUGCUGGCGACCGGCGCACGGGUGAGUAACGGCGUAUCCAACCUUCCCCGUUAGUAGGGCAUAGCCCGGCGAAAGUCGGAUUAAUACCCUAUGUUGUAUAUUGAGGACAUCUGAUUCAUACUAAAGAUUUAUCGCUAAGGGAUGGGGAUGCGUCUGAUUAGGUAGUAGGCGGGGUAACGGCCCACCUAGCCGACGAUCAGUAGGGGUUCUGAGAGGAGGGUCCCCCACAUUGGUACUGAGACACGGACCAAACUCCUACGGGAGGCAGCAGUGAGGAAUAUUGGUCAAUGGGCGCGAGCCUGAACCAGCCAAGUAGCGUGCAAGGAAGACUGCCCUAUGGGUUGUAAACUGCUUUUAUGCGGGGAUAAAGUGCAGCACGUGUGCUGUUUUGUAGGUACCGCAUGAAUAAGGACCGGCUAAUUCCGUGCCAGCCGCGGC